rnacentral:piRNA from 1 species
UGGUAACCAAGGAGCAUCUCAGGCC